UGCAGAAGAAUGAAUGGAUCUCAAUGGAUGAGUGUCAAGAAAGUAGAAUUUAGGAGUUCCCAUUGUGGCGCAGCGGAAAUGAAUCCACUAGUAACCAUGAGGUUGCAGGUUUGAUCCCUGGCCUCACUCAGUAGGUUAAAGAUCUGGCGUUGCCGUGGGCUGUAGUGUACGUCACAGAAGUGGCUCAGAUUUAGUGUUGCUGUGGCUGUGGUGUAGGCUGGCAGUUACAGCUCCAAUUUGGCUUGAGAACUUCCAUGUGCUGCAUAUACAGCCCAAAAGAAAGGAAGAAAGAAAAGAAGGAAGGAAGGAGCAUUUAAAGGACUUAGUGACUGAAUGAUGUGGGAGUGAGAAAGUCCAGGGGGAUUCCCAGUUACUUGGCUUGGGUGAAUGGGUGGACAUACGAGAUAGGGAAUAAAGGAGGAGAAGGGGAGUUUUGAAAAUAGUAAGCUUGAGAUGAUUAUAGAAAACAUAAAAUAGACUCAGAAGGCAAUUGGAAUAAGAGCUAGCGGUCAGGGAAAGCUGUGGACUAGAGGCUUAUACACUUGGGCAACAUUUGAAGCAAAGAGAAUUCAUCUUUCCUCUCUGCAUCCCUGCCAAUGGCUUUGUUCAUGACCUCAUCAUCUGUCUUUUGGACCAUUAAAACAGCCUCCUUAUUGAUCUUCAAACUCUACCCUUUCCAGUUCAUUCUUCACAUUCCUAUCAGAGUGAUAUUUCUAAAAUACAAUUAAAUAUAGUCUGUCAUUUAAAACUUUCCGUGGCUCUCUACAAGUCUGCAAAAGAAAAAUCUAUACUUCUUGCUUUGGCUUUCUUGGCAGUUAGAGAAUAGAGCAGUUUCACGAAAGACACUUAUUUUUAUGUCAUACAGUGUAAGAUUCUAAUGCUUUACAAUUACUGUCAGGAUAUCUUGGAAAAGUGGUUCCCAAUCAUAUGUAUGUUGGUUACUCUCUGAAAAGACAAGGACAGAUGGCCAAGAUCCUAAGCCCCCAGAUUCUUGACAAGUUCUCUUCUACCAUCACCAUCGGAGGCACACCAAGAAAAAUAAUUGCUUUUUAUUACCAAUUAUGGAUUUGGCUCCAAACCCUAACAUAUUAUCCUAGAGAACUUGAAAGGACCACAUAAAAGCCACCUAGAACAAGCAAUUCUCAAAACUCUGGGUGAAACACAAGUGGAAGGGCUUCCUUGGCCCCUUGGUCCUAGACCUAUUCCAUAAUCAUUACCCUCAAAUAUUCAUCACCUAGUGACAAUAAAAAGCAACUAAAAAAAUGACCCAAGGGAACAGAAGCUUCUCACUGCCCUCUAAAGCUCUAAAGUAUGAGCCAGAGAUUUCACACUAUAAGCUGCUAUGGCAUAUUCUACUUGUAAACAGCUUUUGUUAGCCAAUGCAGGGAGGUCCCACACGAUAUUAAACAAACAAACAAACAAAUAAAAAAACCACAAAAACACUUUAUCCUUUCCCUGCCAUCAAAACAUGAAAAAUGGAGUUCCCGUUGUGGCACAGUGGAAACAAACCCGACUAGUAACCAUGAGGUUGUGGGUUCGACCCCUGGCCUUGCUCAGUGGGUUAAGGAUCUGGCAUUGCUAUAAGCUGGGGUGUAGGUUGUAGACGAGGCUCCUGUGUUGCUGUGACUGUGGCGAAGGCCAGUGGCUACAGCUCUGAUUAGACCCCUAGCCUGGGAAUCUCCAUAUGCUGUGGGUACGGCCCUGAAAAGCAAAAACAAAAACAAAGAGCAGAAAACAAAAACCCAUGAAAAAUGAACUUGCAGAACGGGUGGCAGUGCUCUUUACAUUUUGACAUUCAACAAUCAACUAGAACUAAAACAGUAUUCCUCUUUAGAUGAGGUCUUUGUCUUCCAGUUCCUCACCUCUGACCCAGUUCCCUCAUAUAGAUUAGUCCAGUGCUUCCCAAUCAUUAAUGUGCAUGCAAAUCACCUGGGGAAUCUUGUUAAAAUUCAAUUUCUGGAGUUGCCACUGUGGAGCAGUGGGUUAAGAAUCCAGCAUUGCCACAGCUAUGGCAUAGAUCACAGCUGCAGCUUGGAUUCCAUCCCUGACUCAGGAAACUCUGUAUGCCAUGGGUGCAGCUGAAAAAGAAAAAAAAAAAAUUCUGUUUCUGACCUGAUAGGUCUGGGAUGAGGUCCAAGAUUUGUUCCCAGGUAAUGCUGGUGCUGCUGGUGUAGGAACCACUGUUUGAGUGACAAGGAAUUAGAUAGGUAGCAUAGUAGUUAAGUGUUUCUCUGUGGAGCCACUAGUCUGGUUUUGGAUUCUGGUUCAGCCACUUACCAGCUGAAUCACCCUGGGGAAAUUUCCUACAUUAACUGUACCUCAGCUUCCUCAUUUACAAAAUGGUGCUAGUAAUUGUUCUUAACUAAAAGGAUUCUGGAGAAGAUUGAGUCAUUGUGUGUGACAGUCCUCAAAAGAGUUCCUGGCACACAGUAAGAAACCAAUGAGAGGUAACUGCUAUUAUUCAUUAAUGAAGUUAUAGUAGGUCCCUCCUUGCUUAAAAUUAUGGAAUGGUUUUCCAUUGUCCACUGGAUGAAGUUCAAACUCCUUGGCAUGGAUUACAAUGCCCUUUAUGACCUGACCUCUAUUUUCAUUUCCCACCUCAUCUCUCUGCCUAGCAAUGCACUCUAAUCUCUCUCAUCUUGAUCCCUCUACCCAUGGAGUUCCCCUUAGCUAGAAUACUCUUCCCUUUCUUUACCCAGUCAACUCCUAGAACUCAAGACAGCUCAAGUUGAGUUGGAAUUCUUCCCAGACAAUCCCCAUCACCACUGUGAGUUAAGUACCUAUCUUAUAUAUUCCCAGAGCUUCCAUAGCAAUCUCUGUCACAAUAUUUAUCACAUUAUAUUAUAAUAGUCAAAUUGUCUGUGUAUUCUUUGGGGAAACUACCACGAUUAUAAGCUUUCAGUAAGUGUCCACUCUGGAAUUAAUAAAUGAAUAAAUGACUAAAUAUGUUUCUUGGUGCUGCCAUAGAUCUCUGUGGACCCAAAUCCUUUGAUUAGACCUCCUUUUUUAUGGGUCAUUGAUCUUUGACCUUUAAGGAUCCAAACAGGCUAUAGCCCCAUCCCACCAUCCCAGGGAGGAACACAUGCUCACCACUGCCAUAACCCUGCCCAAGUAACUAGUAUCAUAGCAGUCCUCUGAUAAACAAUGCUCAUGCAUUGCAGAUGUUCUUGCAUUUCCAGAUUCAAGAAUAUGGCUCAUUGAGGUGUGAAUGUGGGGCUCAACCAUAAGCUAAAUUACUACCCAGCACAUUAAUUAAUUCUAAACCUAGAUUUAGCAAGUUCAAUUCAAAUUCAUCCUAGGUGCUUUUUAUAAGCCAUAUUCAUUUAGCCUUUUAAAUUCAUUAUCACGGCCUCAUAUGGAGGUUCCCAGGCUAGGGGUCGAAUUGGAGCUGUAGCUGCCAGCCUACACCACAGCCACAGCAACAUGGGAUCCGAGCCGCGUCUGCGACCUACACCACAGCUCACGGCAACACCGGAUCCUUAACCCACUGGGCGAGGCCAGGGAUCAAACCUGCAUCCUCAUCAGAUUCAUUUCCACUGAGCCACGAUGAGAACUCCUUUAACUCCAUUUUCCAAUCCAAAUUCGUGAUUGCAAAAUUUUAGGUGUUCUUCUAGGGAAAAGCCCAACUAGUAACCAUGAGGACGUGGUUUGAUCCCUGGCCCCAUUCAUUAGAUUAAAGAUCCAGCGUUGCCAUGAGCUGUGAUGUAGGUCACAGAUGUGGCUCAGAUCCUGUGUUGCUAUGGCUGCAGCAUAGGCUGGCAGCUGCGGCUGCAGCUCCGAUUCAACCCCAC
rnacentral:lncRNA from 1 species